AAGGAUAAUAUACGGAAUAUCGCCUUAGGCGAUACGGAAUAACGAAGACAUAUUGUAUUCAGUUUUGAAUGCUCAUUUUGAGGAUUCAACAUUGUACAUUGAAAACUAGAUAAGUAAGUAUAGAUUUUACCAAGCAAAACCGAGUGACAAGCGAAAAGCUUGAAACAAAAAAUUAUCGCUAGUCGUCGACAGACGACUCACAAUAAUUAAUAACUGGUGGAUGGUAAGUAGUGCAUAUGUUAUAGAUACGAUAAACGUGAAUUGAAAACGUUUGUCAGUCUAUGAAUCGCAAACAAGAGCGAAGGCSUUACUUCCGUAAGCAACUGAGUGAUUUGUGCCGCGAUGAAGCCGAAUGCAAACGAUUGCCAAAACAUCAUAAA
rnacentral:misc_RNA from 1 species